GUCCUUUAGAGAGAUUGCCCUGGUGGUAGUGUAGAGGAUGUUUUAGGGGAGUAGGAGGCUAAUUAGGACACCAUUGGGAAAAUCAGAUGUGGAAAUUGACACGUUAUCGAGCAUAUGUAAGUGCCAUACCAUUCCAACUUUACAUACUUCUCACCACCCCUGCUGCACCUCACCUCCCUAAUAACACUUCUGGGACCGUGGUUGCUUUAAGAUCAGCUGACUUUUCCCUCAGUGAUUCAAUGCAGAAUCCUCAGUAAGUAGAGCAUUCCUUUUGAUGGCUUUACUAAUACCCAGAUCUCGUAGUUCUUUAAAUCCCUCAACUAAAAUGACCUUCAUCUUCAUUUCACUUUGGCUGUGCACACACAUGCCACACCUAAUAGAUCUGCUCCACUUUGAAUAUUUCAAACUCUAUUAGUCUCCUCUUUGAAAUAGCCUUCUAACUUCUACCUGCCCCAUCCAUGUUUCUCCUCAACCUGUCUUCUCUUCCAUUCCUUGUUCCAUUCCUUGUUCUGUCCUUGUUUUCCAGUAUGGGAAGAUAGGGGAGGGAAGAGGCUGGCAACUCUCUUCGAAUCCCUGCUUCCGUACUCAGCCCACAACUAUUCAGAUGGUUCAAUAAUGAUUGUGCUUACCCUGCAGACUUCCUCACAUAGUAUUCUUUGAGAAUUUCCAACUCAGGUUCUUUUCCUGUUUUUUUCCCCGACUGUUACGCUCAGGCACCUGGGCAUUGUUAGUAAAUUUCAUAAAAACUGGGACAAUUGGAUCAAUAAAUGUAUGUAGAAUAAAGAAAUCUAUCAGAUCCUUCCCCACGCAGGGGAGGGGAAGCUUAGGGCUGUGUUGAACUCAAAAAAA
rnacentral:lncRNA from 1 species